UAUCUGGUAGUCUUGUCUCGGCAUUGUUCUAGGAUUUUUUUUGAGCUCGUCAUCAACCUUAUCUCCUACGUGUUCUCAUUCUCUGUUCUUAUCCCCAGUUAUCUUCUACGAUUUAGAAGCCUCCGUAAGCCCAGCUCCUCUGUACACCUCGGUUGCGUGCACGCCGGACUGCUCCCUCCUGCAGCUCGCCGUGCCGUGCACUCGCAUCGCUUGAGCCCUGCGACCACUGCUGUCUUCCUGCUCAGCGGGCCGCCGCACCCAGCAAAUCCCAUGCGUGCUCCUCCCUGCUGCGCUCGUCCGGCCACGACCUCGUCCUGGCUCCCUCGGAGCUCGCGUCCAGCUCUGCCAUGGCCACGCCGGUUUAGAGCUUUCUGCCGCGCCCUGCUCGCCCCCAUGUCCGAAGGCAGCCGCUCAUCCAUCUCCAUCCUCGCGUCCUUGGUCUCUCCUCUGCUUGGUCGCCAUCCCCAAGCCGCGCCAAGUUCCCUGCUCCGCUCCGUCACCGCUUUCUGCAGCCAUGGUCACCGUGGAGUUCCGUGGAGUUCCAUCCCUGUGCGCAGGUCCUCUCAUGGCGUCCAGCCGCUGCUCCUUGCUCGCCCGGAUCUCCCUGCUCGCCCAUGCCGCACGCAGCCAAGCUAGUCCCUGCACGCAAGCUGUCUGUUGGCCGAGCUCCAUCGUGUCGCAUUUCCAGCUCGCCGUGGUCUACUGCUUCAUCUCCGUGCUAAGAGGCUGGAUGAUGGUCCUCUCAUGGCGUCCAGCCGCUGCUCCUUGCUCGCCCGGAUCUCCCUGCUCGCCCAUGCCGCACGCAGCCAAGCUAGUCCCUGCACGCAAGCUGUCUGUUGGCCGAGCUCCAUCGUGUCGCAUUUCCAGCUCGCCGUGGUCUACUGCUUCAUCUCCGUGCUAAGAGGCUGGAUGAUGGUUAUAGUUUUAUGCUGCUGAUGAUGGUGUUAAGUGCCGGUGGGUCGACCUUCUUAUAUAAGUAUACCCCAUCUUUAUCUUCUUAUUGAGGAUGGUCACUUAAGCUAGCAUAUGUUUCGAACUUAUAAACAAUUUAUAACAGUUCAAAGUUAUUCCUUUGAAUCACUUUUUUGUAAUCACUCUGAUUAUGUACAUUAUAAAACUUGAUGUAACAUGUAAAAUUUGGUAAUAAGAUUUUCGCUGCAAAA